GAUGAACGCUGGCGGCGUGCUUAACACAUGCAAGUCGAACGGAAAGGCCCAAGCUUGCUUGGGUACUCGAGUGGCGAACGGGUGAGUAACACGUGGGUGAUCUGCCCUGCACUUCGGGAUAAGCCUGGGAAACUGGGUCUAAUACCGGAUAGGACCACUUCUUGGAUGUUGUGGGGGAAAGUUUUUUCGGUGUGGGAUGAGCUCGCGGCCUAUCAGCUUGUUGGUGGGGUAAUGGCCUACCAAGGCGUCGACGGGUAGCCGGCCUGAGAGGGUGUACGGCCACAUUGGGACUGAGAUACGGCCCAGACUCCUACGGGAGGCAGCAGGGGGGAAUAUUGCAAAAUGGGCGCAAGCCUGAUGCAGCGACGCCGCGUGGGGGAUGACGGCCUUCGGGUUGUAAACUCCUUUCGCUAGGGACGAAGCGUUUUGUGACGGUACCUGGAGAAGAAGCACCGGCUAACUACGUG
rnacentral:rRNA from 1 species